rnacentral:rRNA from 1 species
GACAGAGGAGCCAAGCGUUGUCCGGACUGACUGGGCGUAAAGCGCACGCAGGCGGCGCUGUGCGUGGGUGUGAAAGCUCUUGGCUUAACUGAGAGAGGCCAUCCCAUACGGCAGCGCUCGAGCGGUGCAGAGGUCCGCGGAAUUGCCGGUGUAGUGGUGAAAUGCGUAGAGAUCGGCAGGAACACCCAGGGGAAACCAGCGGACUGGGCAUCGGCUGACGCUCAGGUGCGACAGCGUGGGGAGCGAACCGG